AACGCGAACACGGUUUUGUUCUUUGAUCAUUUGAGAUGGGAAAUAUUAUGUUUCGGAAGCCUUUGAGGUAUAUCAGAAGCGUUCUAAUCUCGCCGCUCAAAAGCAACCCGUAGCAUGUUGUACAGUUUUUAAAGAUGUAGAGUUUGUGGCAAAUGGUUAGCUGUAGCAUUGAUUUAUCAUUAUGCAUGCAAAAUUUGAGGGGGGAAACUUGAAAACUGAGCGCGCGGUGAGCAUUUUGGUGAAAUGGGUUUCCAUCAUGUGGA